UCUCGAUUGGUCUAGUGGUAAGGAUACCUGCUUGUCAUUGGCGUCCUGUCUAGUCUCACGAUAGUGGGCACUAGGUCAUGAGCUAUCAUCAAGCCGCAGGUGGCCGGGGUUCGAUUCCCCGAUCGAGAG